rnacentral:rRNA from 1 species
AUACGGAGGGUGCAAGCGUUACUCGGAAUCACUGGGCGUAAAGCGCGCGCAGGCGGCUAUUUAAGUUGGAUGUGAAAGCCUACGGCUCAACCGUAGAACUGCAUCCAAAACUAUUUAGCUAGAGUGUGGGAGAGGAAGAUGGAAUUAGUUGUGGAGGGGUAAAAUCCGUAGAGAUAACUAGGAAUACCAAAAGCGAAGGCAAUCUUCUGGAACACUACUGACGCUGAGGCACGAAAGCGUGGGGAGCAAACAGGAUUAGAAACCCUAGUAGUCC